rnacentral:rRNA from 1 species
UAAUACAUGCAAGUCGAACGCGUCUCCGUUAAUGAUUUUAGGUGCUUGCACUUGAAAGAUUUAACAUUGAGACGAGUGGCGAACUGGUGAGUAACACGUGGGUAACCUGCCCUUGAAGUAGGGGAUAACACUUGGAAACAGGUGCUAAUACCGUAUAACAACCAAAACCACCUGGUUUUGGUUUAAAAGACGGCUUCGGCUGUCACUUUAGGAUGGACCCGCGGCGUAUUAGCUUGUUGGUAAGGUAACGGCCUACCAAGGCGAUGAUACGUAGCCGACCUGAGAGGGUAAUCGGCCACAUUGGGACUGAGACACGGCCCAAACUCCUACGGGAGGCAGCAGUAGGGAAUCUUCCACAAUGGACGAAAGUCUGAUGGAGCAACGCCGCGUGAGUGAUGAAGGGUUUCGGCUCGUAAAACUCUGUUGUUGGAGAAGAACAGGUGUCAGAGUAACUGUUGACAUCUUGACGGUAUCCAACCAGAAAGCCACGGCUAACUACGUGCCAGCAGCCGCGGUAAUACGUAGGUGGCAAGCGUUGUCCGGAUUUAUUGGGCGUAAAGCGAGCGCAGGCGGUUUUUUAGGUCUGAUGUGAAAGCCUUCGGCUUAACCGGAGAAGUGCAUCGGAAACCGGGAGACUUGAGUGCAGAAGAGGACAGUGGAACUCCAUGUGUAGCGGUGAAAUGCGUAGAUAUAUGGAAGAACACCAGUGGCGAAGGCGGCUGUCUGGUCUGUAACUGACGCUGAGGCUCGA